GUGGGGAAUCUUAGACAAUGGGCGCAAGCCUGAUCUAGCCAUGCCGCGUGAGUGAUGAAGGCCCUAGGGUUGUAAAGCUCUUUCAGCUGGGAAGAUAAUGACGGUACCAGCAGAAGAAGCCCCGGCUAACUCCGUGCCAGCAGCCGCGGUAAUACGGAGGGGGCUAGCGUUGUUCGGAAUUACUGGGCGUAAAGCGCGCGUAGGCGGACUGAAAAGUUGGGGGUGAAAUCCCGGGGCUCAACCUCGGAACUGCCUUCAAAACUAUCAGUCUGGAGUUCGAGAGAGGUGAGUGGAAUUCCGAGUGUAGAGGUGAAAUUCGUAGAUAUUCGGAGGAACACCAGUGGCGAAGGCGGCUCACUGGCUCGAUACUGACGCUGAGGUGCGAAAGCGUGGGGAGCAAACAGGAUUAGAUACCCCUGUAGUCC
rnacentral:rRNA from 1 species